GGUAAAAUGGCUGAGUAAAGCAUUAGACUGUAAAUCUAAGUACAGGAGUUUAACCUCCUUUUUAUCA
rnacentral:tRNA from 1 species